AUUUGGUACUGAUGUUCAUUUGGAAAAAGUAAGACUAGAUUUUCUAAUAAAUUAUCAACUGUUUUUAAAACAAGUGGCAAAAAAUUUGGUGGUUGGUAUUCGAGCUUUUAAGUUCGAAAUCUAAUUAUUUUAUAUUUUUAGCUAAAUUCAUGUCUAAAAAAAAUAAGCGAAGCGGGUAGUAUGCUAUUUUUUUCUUAAAAAAAAAUUUAAUAAGUUUUAUAAAAAAUAGAUUACUAAAUUUAACAUUUUUAAAA
rnacentral:lncRNA from 1 species